AGUGAACGCUGGCGGUAUGCCUAACACAUGCAAGUCGAACGGCAGCACAGUAAGAGCUUGCUCUUACGGGUGGCGAGUGGCGGACGGUUGAGGAAUACAUCGGAAUCUACUUUUUCGUGGGUGAUAACGUAGGGUAACUUACGCUAAUACCGCAUACGACCUACUGGUGAAAGCAGGGGAUCUUCUGACCUUUCGCUAUUGAAUGAGCCAAUGUCGGAUUAGCUAGUUGGCUGGGUAAAGGCCCACCAAGGCGACGAUCCGUAGCUGGUAUGAGAGGAUGAUUAGACACAUUGGAACUGAGAAACAGUCCAGACUCCUACGGGAGGCAGCAGUGGGGAAUAUUGGACAAUGGGGGCAAGCCUGAUCCAGCAAUAUCGCGUGGGUGAAGAAGGACUUAGGGUUGUAAAGCCAUUUUGUUGGGAAAGAAAAGAAGCAGGUUAAUACCCCGCUGUUAUGACGGUACCCAAAGAAUAAGCACCGGCUAACUUCGUG
rnacentral:rRNA from 1 species